CAUAGCACACAGGCACUUUCUCCUCUGAUGUAUGGAUGAUAGGAUAGUUCUUAACUGGGGACCUAUGGAUUGGGCAGCCACAAACUAUCAGAAGGUAGAAAUAGUAAACAAUCUAUUAAGGGUGGAAGGACUAGUCUCUGAAGACAUUCUCUGUUUUCAUCUUACAGAAAGAGGUAUACCAUAGAGUUGAUUGAAGAGAUUUUGAACACCAGCAGUGAAAACUCCCAGAAAAUGCAAGCAGCACCUGGUGUAAUUCUCAACAACAGUUAUGGGUGAGCACAUGGAUAGAGUAGCAAAUAUUUUGGUGAUUGCAAUAAUGUCUAUGAUUCUUGUUACUGUAUUUCUACACAGUUGAAUGCUUACCAAAGGACAUUAUUUCAGAAAAGAUGUUCAGACUCACCUUGACCCCUGAGGAAUGGAGCCUGCUCUCUAUGGACAGAGAUCUCUCAAACUGUGCAGAGUAUAUUCCCUUCAUACAUUGAUUAGGAGAUUUCAGAAUCCAUGAGAAGUUCUAUGGUGGUCCUUCUGGAAUGAUGGAGUUCUCAGAACUGCACUGACCACCAGAGACAGGGAGGCCUGUUACCAGAGGGAUGAUCACAUCCAGAACACAAAUGAGAAAGAAUCCACCUGAAGAAAGCUUGGAAAUGACUAUUUUAUCAUAGCAUUUUAAAAAAUCAUUACUUUAGUAUAAUUUAAAGAAACAAAAUUUAGUUCCGAUAUACAGAAACCUGACUUGAAGUAUUACAUGGAAAACAUUUGAUUUCUCACUUAAUUUCCAGUUCAUUCCUACUGUCUGAUUUCAGAGCACCUAGUUUAUCAUGUUGAUGACCUUAUGCAGCUUAAGUCUGGUGAGCAGGAAAAAGCACUUAAUCUAGGUUUGCAGAUAAGGACUAUAUGUGAUAGAGAGUAAGGUAAAUGUCAGAAAAAUUCAGGAGACUACUACCUUUGUAAAGUUGCUACAGAAUGAAUGAAAUACACAGGCACAUGCUGAAAUAUCAACUUGAAAGCCAAAAAGCAGCAAUGCCACUUGUUUACCUCUAUCAUUGAAGCUGGUCUCCACAUUUGACUUGCUUCUUGAAAAUCAAGGGACAUAAUAUAAAAUGUUUGAGUUCUCUGCAUGAUCAUUUUCCAAGUCAGCACAUAGACUGCCAAUUUUCAAUGAGAACUAAAGCAGGAAAUUUCUCUAUAGGUGGCAGCUAUUGUACAAACUGCUAUGCCAUUACCUUAACAAGCUAGCACACCUAGUGCCUUUGGCAGUUUGUAUGGAAGAUAUUUUGACAAUAACCCUAGGUAAAUUACAAUGAAUCUCCCCGAGGUUUUCUAGUAGUGUAUUUCUCUCUUCUGCAAAUAACUAUUAUCUUUGUUUUGUAUUGGAUCUGGUUAAAAUUAAUUGCCUUAUCUUGGUUCUUCAUUGACCUGAGAUGCUUCUCAUCAUCUAAUCUGCAAAAACUUUAUAUAAGAGGAGCAAUGUCAUAUCAGGAAUAUACAUAGGUGGUAUUUAUGCUCAUAAUACAUAUCUACAGUUGGUAUUUAUGCUCAUAAUUUCUUCUAUGUGUACUUUAUUUUCUUUUCUGCCUCAAGCAACUAAUAUGGUACUAUGGGGGAGUUUCUUAUAAAAAGUUGUUCAAGGAAGAAAAGAAAUUUAGACCUUAUGGAUAAGUGCUCACAUGUGAUAUAGUAAAACCAGCCAAAAUUAGGACCUAUCAGACAUUUAGAGACUUAUAAACACACACAGGAGUAGCCCUGAGCAAAGUGUGAUAAUGCUUCUGAAUAGUAUAUCUGAUUAACUAUGAUGACAAUGUAAAGAAUGAUGGAAAGAUGUUUGGGACUCAACAAAUUCACGAGCAAUGACCAAUUAUUUAUCUAGAAAAAAAAGUAAUUGGUUGGGGUUGGGAUUGUGACUCAGUGGUAAAGCACUUGCCUAGCAUGUGUGAAGGACUGGGUUUGAUUCUCAGCACUGCAUCAAAAUAAAUGAAUAAAAUAAAGGUCCAUCAACAUCUAAGCAAAUAUAAAAAGAUAGUAAUUAGAAAAGCACAAAAUUGAAAAAUUGAUUAUAAGGAGUUCUGUGGAAGAGCUCAUGAAUGGACUUCAGGAAGUAGAUGUGGGAUAAUCAUAUUGGUGUUCCAUGUGCUGUCACCAAAUGGUUCCCAACACAGAAAAGCCUCUCUGUAAUUCUCUGGAAAAGAUGAUGUACUCUUUGAAUGUUAGAAAACCACUUUUUUUUCUAUUCACUCUAGUGCCUGAUCUAUUAAUCAUGGGUGAGGAGGCCUGGGCUGCGGGUAAGGGAGUUAUUCAUGGCCUCAACAAUAUGAACUUCUCACCAUAGCUGGCCUAGCUACAUUCACUGCUGGACAUCAAAGUUUCCAGUAUAGACACCAAUGCUGGUACCCUGAUAGGAUCUUGUCUUAGUUCAUUUGGCACUCACUGCUAUAACAAAAUAUUUGAGACUGAAUUAAUUUUAAAAAUCUUAAAUUUACUUCUUUUAUUUCUGAAGGUUGGAAAAAUCUAAGAUCAAGAUACCAGCAGGUUCAGUUGCUGGUGAGGGCUGUUUUCUGCUUCUACGAUUACACCUUAUGGGUAUAUUCUAAUGAAAUGUCCUAUACAGUAGAAAGUUGAAGGACUAGUGGAUGGAACAUUGUGUGAAGCUUAUUUUUAAGAGGUCUUUCUUAAUCACUCUUGAAAGGGAAGAAUUCUCAUGGUGUAAUCAUGUCUCAAAGGCCCAUGUCUUGCUGCCAUCAGACUGGCCAUUAAGUUUCAACACCUAAAUUUUAGAAUGUCCAAUUUCAAACCAUAGCAGAGUUAUUCUCAGCAGCUCCACUUGGCCACGUGUUAGCACAUUGAUUUGAAUGAUUUUCAUCUAUUAUAUUCACCACCAAUGUGUCCUAAGCUACAUCAUUUCCAAUCAAGGAAAUCAUUAAUAAAAGAAAGAAAAAAAAAAGAAACAAGACAAUAUGCCCAUGAGUGAUGAUUCACUGGUCUUAACAUUUAUUCUAUAAUCAAAAAAGCUAAGUUUAUUAAUUGGAAUGGCACACUGAAGAGUUGGAGAAAAAACAGUCUUAAAAGUUACAACUAACAAAAAAUGUGCAGCCAGAAUAUGUGGUUUCAGUAAUCAGAAAUGAGAGCUGGAGAGGCUUGGUUUUUCUUUUUAUUAUUGCCAAUUACCACUUGCAAAUGGUUGCUUUAACUCCCUGGGAUUUAGAGAGCUGAAUGUUAGAGAUAUUAUUUAUCAUUAAAAUACAACAGUGUGUCCAGUUAGCUGGCUGCCACCUGGCCUAUUGAGACUACUAAUGCCAUUGAACCAACAGGCCAAAAAAAAGUGUGUGUGGGGGAGUCAAUAUAGUGACUAGGAUGAAUGAUAUUGAAUAUCAGUUAAAAAUAAUGUACUACAGAAGGGGAGGAGAAGAAUAUGUGUGAAAUCCAAAGUUUCUCUGGGAACCCAUUUUUUAAUUUUAAACUUAGGUGGGAAACAUUAAAUAGAAGAUAGUAAUAUUUCAAUAAAAGCAGUCCAGAGAUGAAUAUUGGAACUGAAUGCACUUUGUAAGAGAUGCCUCGAGUACCUUAAUUUUUGCUAGGGAUACCUUCAUUAUAAUAGGUGGAAGCAUGAUGUUAUUUCUAUUGUUACUGUGUGGAAGUUAAAUACAGGCAGAAACAUCUGACUGACAUGUUAUCAUGUUGGCAUCUUAAAAUAGAUCUUUGUGAGGGCUUUCUUUUUUUCCAUCAGAGAACUGAUGGUCAGUGUUAACUGACACACCACUGGAUAGAUACACGUGUGUUCACUGGAAGCUGUGCUGGGUAUUUUUAUUGGCAAUUUGAAACUUUAUUUUUAAAAACUUUCCACUGAAAUAUAAGAUGGAGUGAACACAAUUUCCCCAAUUCUUUCCAUUAAUUACAAAUAAAAUAAUCAGGCAUGAUAUUGUGAAAAUAUGUUUUUAUCAUUUAAAUGAAAACACUUUCUACUAAAACAUUUUUUUCUUUCAUCUUAACAGUGUCUGUAUAAAUAGUAGUUCAUAGUUUAUAAUACAUCGGCUUAAAGAAAACAGAACAUAAAUAGUAUAUUCUAGGUAUAUUCUAGUACAUAUACUAGAGUUAAACAUUGAGUCUUGUAUGUGAUGACCAAAGGCUCAAGGAAUAGGGAGUGAAAAUUUUUAAAACAUUGUUUUAAGUAAUUUGGUUAAAAAACAAAUAAUGGAAGACAUAGAAGUGAAAAGGGAAACAGAUAUAUCAAAUGUAUUCUAAAAUUAGGAUAUACACUAAAUGAUUCUGCCAUAGACAUUUC